CAUCGAUACAAUUUUUAUCUCAUGAUGUACUUUUUCAAAGGACAAUUUAUAAAGUGUUACGUCAAUAAAUAGUACCAUAAAAUGCAUGUUGGGAAAAACAACUUUUUAUAAAUUCAUGCAAAAUAUUUGAUACAGUAUCUAUUGUUAAAGGUAUCUAAAAAUGGAUCCCACCAGAACACACAGACUAAGUCUAUGAGGAAAAUAAAGUCUUAUAGAUCAACAACUAACAACUGUAAUGAGCAGAUGAUAUAUAUGAGAUAAAGAUAGAACUGGUAUGAAAGGUGACAGUAGAACAUUGAAAUAAUUCGAAAGGUAGGUAUAGCUUUACACUCAUUUAUGAUUGUUUUAAGUAAGUUUUUGCAGCUUUUCCUAGUAUUUUAUUUCAAUAACAUGAAAUGUUGUAGUGUGUUCAUGGGACAACAAACCAACAACGAGCAAAUUCAAAAGAAUAAAGAGCAGCAAUACAAUUCUACAACAAUUGAAAGAUGUCAUUUAAGUUAACAAAGAAGUCUAUGGGAAGUACAUAUCCGUACACACAACUUCUCAGUUAACUGUUUCACAGAUUGCAUUGAUAUUGUGCUCAAGUAAUCAGAUUAUGUUAAUACAUAUGUGUUUUGGUGCCGAUCCAAAGAUGAGUGUAACAGCAGGACAUAUUUUAACUUAGGAACCUGCAGGAAAUAUAAACAAAGAUCUCCUUCUCUGAAACUGAAUAACAGAUUUAAAAGAUAAUAUAAUGAGAAUUGCCACUGGUACUAAUAAUGAAAAAUUCCACAAAAAAAAAUUUUUUUUUAUUUUUAAACUGCUGUAUAGUGUAUAAAAUAAUGAAAAGUUGUAGGAUUGCCAAUGAGACAACUAUCCACCAAAUUUGAUGUGAUGUGGAUGUGAACAAUAAUAUGCAAUUUUGCAGACUUCAACAAUGAGAAAACCCAUACCGUAUUGUCGGCUACAAAAGACCAAGACAUAAACAAUAUAUGAAACAAUUCAAUGUAGAAAAUUUAACGACCUAAUUUAUAACAAAAUUCCAAUCAUGAACAAUGCUCCAGUUUCCAUGGUAGGUAUAAUCAAACAUUAUCCAUUCUUUUUUUUUCAUUUUUCUCCAUGUAUAAUAUGAACCUUGUAUAAUUAACGUUAUACUACCUUUAGCAAUGCAUGUACACUGAUUCACAUUAUGUCAUGGUUGACCUAUGUUUGAUCUAAUUAUUGGACUUUAACAAAAAUAAUAAAUAUUAUAAUCCACUUUUUCCUUUCCAGAAACAAGUUGGCAAAGAUAUGUAUCACACGCAUUGGAAGAGCAGUGGAAAAUAACAUUGAAGGAGAAUUAUGAAACAGUGAUUAUAACAUCAAAUUGAG
rnacentral:lncRNA from 1 species